GUAAAGAGGUAGUUGUUUGGGCAAAAUUAUAGGUGGGCUAUGUACUGGUGCAGUAAUCUGUGAGCUGCUCUGACAGUUGGUGCUUAAAGCUAGUGAGGGAGAUAAAGUGUUUCCAGUUUCAGAGAUUUUUGUAGUUUGUUCCAGUCAUUGGCAGCAGAGAACUGGAAGUCAUUAUUGCAGUUGCAUUGUACAGCAAAUAUCAUACAACUGUCUCUUGAGGUGCGCUUACAGAGAAAGUUAGGGCACAGUACUCUUAGUCCUGAAUAACUUACUUGCAUACACAUUUUCUUCAUUUUUCCUGUGGUUGUGUUGGUGCUUCGUGCCUGCAGAUUUCCCUUCCCCACUAAUCAAGGUCCACAACCCCGCUCUAGCUCGAGCUGGAAUGCUGUCCACGCUCCUGUAUAUGCUGGGCUCAAAAUCUGCCUCACUAUGGGACCAAGGAGAUCCAGGUGACCCAGAAGACCACCAGAAGCAUUUGGACACCCUGGCGUCUACGGAGCUCCAGGCGCACUGUUUCCCUGGUCCCUCAGGUCCGCCAGGUCAUCCAGGACCCCCAGGGCUUCCCGGAGGACCUCUCAGAGGUCAAGGCCUUAAGGGUAGUCGUGGAGCGGACCUUCCCACAGGUGUCGCCCAUCUUCCCCAUUAUCCCAUGGGUACUUAUACCUAUACCUGUACCUUAUUUUCCAC
ensembl:lncRNA